UAUAACUGAUGAUGGUAAGUU
rnacentral:piRNA from 1 species